CCUUUAUACGAUAAAGGCAUAAUAGAAAACUAAAUACAUAUUUAGGUACUGUAACGCGCAAUGACCAUCUUGAUUUUAAUAACUAUAGAUCCAGAGAUCACAAUAUUUCUAAUAUCAAACAUUUUAACAGUUCAUGUUUUGAAUACGGAAACCAUGCAUCUACGAAAACAAAUCCCGGUUUAUAAACAUCACACAAUCAACAAUACCGGU
rnacentral:lncRNA from 1 species